ACACAUUUUUAAUUGGGUAAUUUGAUUUUCUGGAGGCUAAUUUCUUGAGUGGUUUGUAUAUUUUGGAUAUUAGCAUUGUAUCAGAUGUAGAGUUACUGACAAUAUUCUCCCAAUGCGUGCAUUGCCAUUUUAUCUUAUUGAGAGUGUUCUUUAACUUCCAGAAGUUUUUCAUUUCCAUUUGUCAAUUGUUAAUCUUACAGCCUGAGCCAUUGGUGAUAUGUUCAAGAAAUAUUCCCCAGAAACUAUGUAUCUGGUUUUAUGUAGAGGUCCUUGAUCAAGGUGAACAUGAGCUUCGAACAAGGUGAUAAUUCAGAUCAAAUUGCAUUCUAUUGCAUGCAGACAAUCAGCUAAACCAAGAAUUUACUGAAGAUGAUUUCUUUUUUCCAUUGUAUGAUUUUUGGUUCUUUGUCAAAGAUCAAGGGUCUAAAGGAUCUCAGAUGCAGAGCCCCAGGCCAGACAGUGCUUCAGAAUCCUCCAGGGGCAAAAUGUGAAUUGAAAAGUAAAU
rnacentral:lncRNA from 1 species